GUCGUCGCUGUGGAGACAGGUAAGGGGCCGGGGUUGUUCCCACAGAGGGAGGCGGCGAUAUUGCCAAGGUUGGCAACUGGCCAGAAGCCGAUCAGAUCUCGGCUUCUGGCCGCACGGAUGGAAUAUACAAAGUGCCUCUGUAGUUCUGAGGCAGAAGGCAGCACACACAGACCGUUUGGGGAUUAAACAGAAGGCAUAGAAAGAAAACUAGCAGAAAUCACUA